UUAACGCUAGCGGCAGGCCUAAUACAUGCAAGUCGCACGGGAUUUCGGGGUAGCAAUAUCUGAAUGAGAGUGGCGCACGGGUGCGUAACACGUAUGCAAUCUACCUUUAACUGGGGAAUAGCUCACCGGAAGGUGAACUAAUACCGCAUAAAAUCACAAAAGGACAUCCUUUAAUGAUUAAACCUACGGGGGUUAAAGAUGAGCAUGCGUCCGAUUAGCUAGUUGGCGGGGUAAAGCCCACCAAGGCAACGAUCGGUAGGGGGUCUGAGAGGAUGAUCCCCCACACUGGUACUGAGAUACGGACCAGACUCCUACGGGA
rnacentral:rRNA from 1 species